rnacentral:lncRNA from 1 species
GGAAAAACAACCUUUCUCUCCUGGCUCACAUCAACACACAGUCAUGUUCCAAUAACUCAGCGCAGCAGCUCCCAAGAGCCAAAGUUCAAGUUGGAACAUCGAAACUCACAUGGCUUAAAUCACUGGUGGGAUACCUCUGGUGCUGACACCGAUGUACCCAGCUCGGGCCUACUGAGAGCUUGGACAGUGCUGGGCCCACACGCUCCCCUCUGUCAGCUUUCCUCUCCCUGCCAGCUGCAGCAACCAACACUGCCUACAGCAAAUGUGUCACAUGUAGAUGAGGAAAACAAGAAGAAAGGACAAAAACAGUUGCUAACUUAGGGUUCCUUGGUUUUUGAGCACUCCCAUCCUGUACAAAACAGAACCAAAGUGACAUCAGGGACCACCUGAAGAACACGGCUUUCUUGUCACUUUACCACGACACUGUGGAACCACCGUGGGUGCUGACAAAGGUUUAAUCUGCUUGACAGACACAGAAAACACAGAACAAAUUAGGAAAAGAACCAGAACAAAAGCUCCUGGCAC